AACGUAGGAGACAAACGUUAUCCGGAGUUACUGGGCGUAAAGGGCGUGUAGGUGGUUUCGUAAGUCUGGCGUGAAAUUUUUCGGCUUAACCGGGAAAGGUCGUCGGGAUACUGCGGAACUAGAGUCCGGAAGAGGAGAGUGGAAUUCCUGGUGUAGCGGUGAAAUGCGCAGAUAUCAGGAGGAACACCAAUGGCGAAGGCAGCUCGCUGGGACGGUACUGACGCUGAGACGCGAAAGCGUGGGGAGGCAAACAGGAUAGAAACCCU
rnacentral:rRNA from 1 species